rnacentral:rRNA from 1 species
GAUGAACGCUGGCGGUAUGCUUAACACAUGCAAGUCGAACGGUCACUUCGGUGAUAGUGGCGGACGGGUGAGUAACGCGUGAGAAUCUGUCUUCAGGUCGGGGACAACAGUUAGAAAUGACUGCUAAUACCGGAUGUGCCUUUGGGUGAAAGAUUUAUUGCCUGAAGAAGAGCUCGCGUCAGAUUAGCUAGUAGGUGGUGUAAGAGACUACCUAGGCUCCGAUCUGUAGCUGGUCUGAGAGGACGAUCAGCCACACUGGAACUGAGACACGGUCCAGACUCCUACGGGAGGCAGCAGUGGGGAAUUUUCCGCAAUGGGCGAAAGCCUGACGGAGCAAUACCGCGUGAGGGACGAAGGCUUUUGGGUCGUAAACCUCUUUUCUCAAGGAAGAUGAUGACGGUACUUUAGGAAUAAGCAGCGGCUAACUCUGUG